rnacentral:rRNA from 1 species
CGCACGGGUGAGUAACGCGUAGGUGACUACCCUUAGCGGGGGACAACUCCGAGAAAUCGGGGCUAAUACCGCGUAUGCUCUCGAGUCAAAUUGAGAGUGAAAGCUCCUUCGGGGGCGCCUUUGGAGGGGCCUGCGUUCGAUUAGCUUGUUGGUGGGGUAAAGGCCUACCAAGGCUGAGAUCGAUAGCUGGUCUGAGAGGAUGAUCAGCCACACUGGGACUGAGACACGGCCCAG